UCCUGGCUCAGGAUGAACGCUAGCGGCAGGCCUAACACAUGCAAGUCGAGGGGCAGCACGAUUGAAGCUUGCUUCAAUUGGUGGCGACCGGCGCACGGGUGCGUAACGCGUAUGUAACCUACCUUAUACAGGGGCAUAACACUGAGAAAUUGGUACUAAUACCCCAUAACACUUUAGGAGGCAUCUCCUUUGGUUGAAAGUUCCGGCGGUUAAAGAUGGACAUGCGUUGUAUUAGCUAGAUGGUGAGGUAACGGCUUACCAUGGCGACGAUACAUAGGGGGACUGAGAGGUUAACCCCCCACACUGGUACUGAGACACGGACCAGACUCCUACGGGAGGCAGCAGUGAGGAAUAUUGGUCAAUGGACGCAAGCCUGAACCAGCCAUGCCGCGUGCAGGAUGACGGCUCUAUGAGUUGUAAACUGCUUUUGUACAAGGGUAAACCUCGGUACGUGUACCGAGCUGAAAGUACUGUACGAAUAAGGAUCGGCUAACUCCGUG
rnacentral:rRNA from 1 species